GGAGGGUUUAAAGCAUUGACAUCUGAUGUGAUCUUGAUAAGUGUCUGUAAGAGAAGUCUGUUCAACAGAUCAUAAGGAACAAACACAAUGAUACUCCAUUCUUUUAUUCUGCUUUCUGCACUUGCAUAUGCAACAUAUGGAAAUGAAAUUAAACCAACCAAAACAGAGGAUUUUGCUGUCGAUGGUUCAAGUGUUAAAUUAUCCUGCAGUUAUUCAUCUGCAUAUAAUCUUCACUGGUACCGUCAGUAUCCCGGAUCAGCUCCUGAAUUCCUUGUGCUCAUCUCAGACAGUGAAAAAAAAGCUAAGGAGUCUGAUGUAGAUUCCAGAUUCACUGCUGAGAUCAGAAAAGAAAAAGAAAACUAUGUGGAUCUGGAGAUCUCCUCUGCUGCAGUAUCAGACUCUGCUCUGUAUUACUGUGCUCUGGUGCCCACAGUGACAGGAAACACAAGAACACUGCACAAGAACCUGCUUCUGCUCAGAGUGAGGAAUCAAUGGGCUUUUACAGUUCAGGAGAAAUGGGACCAUUAAUCUUGAAUUUUACCCAGAGUAUACCAAGUAGCAUCUUGCCCAUUCAAAGAAGCCACGUGCAAUUUUGAGCAUUUUGAAAUGCAAAUGCAUUAUUAUUAUAAGUUAAAAAGUGUCUAGAACAUGGUGGAAAUCACCUACAUGCAUGUACAAAAAGUGUCCAAUAUAAAAUCAAUUCACACCUUCAGAAAUAAUUACCCACCCUCAUAAAUCUUUUUGUUUUUAUGUUGUUUCUUAUAACAUCAGUUACUAUUAUCACAAUUAGUUUGGCUUAUUAAAAUGAAUCAAAAUCUGC